AGCUCUUGAGCGCCUUGACAAUGAGUUUGCUGUUGGAAUUCCGUUUGACUACGAAGAAUUGUUUGACAACAACGCCGUCAAUGCGUGUGCUUUUAUAUCCGUAACUCUUGCUCAUUUAUUUAGUUUGAUAGGCAAAUUACAUGUUUUCGCAAUGGUUUAGCAAACAACGAAUUCGAUUAAAUUUGCCCAUUUCAGCGUUUUAUCUCCAUUUCAACGUUUUAUCCCCAUUUCAGC